rnacentral:rRNA from 1 species
GAUGAACGCUGGCGGCGUGCCUAAUACAUGCAAGUCGAGCGAACAGACGAGGAGCUUGCUCCUCUGACGUUAGCGGCGGACGGGUGAGUAACACGUGGAUAACCUACCUAUAAGACUGGGAUAACUUCGGGAAACCGGAGCUAAUACCGGAUAGUAUAUUGAACCGCAUGGUUCAAUAGUGAAGGACGGUUUUGCUGUCACUUAUAGAUGGAUCCGCGCCGCAUUAGCUAGUUGGUAAGGUAACGGCUUACCAAGGCGACGAUGCGUAGCCGACCUGAGAGGGUGAUCGGCCACACUGGAACUGAGACACGGUCCAGACUCCUACGGGAGGCAGCAGUAGGGAAUCUUCCGCAAUGGGCGAAAGCCUGACGGAGCAACGCCGCGUGAGUGAUGAAGGUCUUCGGAUCGUAAAACUCUGUUAUUAGGGAAGAACAAAUGUGUAAGUAACUAUGCACGUCUUGACGGUACCUAAUCAGAAAGCCACGGCUAACUACGUG